GACGAACGCUGGCGGCGCGCCUAACACAUGCAAGUCGAACGAGCGAGAGAGAGCUUGCUUUCUUGAGCGAGUGGCGAACGGGCGAGUAACGCGUGAGGAACCUGCCUCUAAGAGGGGGACAACAGUUGGAAACGACUGCUAAUACCGCAUAAGCCCACGACCCGGCAUCGGGUUGAGGGAAAAGGAGCAAUCCGCUUUGAGAUGGCCUCGCGUCCGAUUAGCUUGUUGGUGAGGUAACGGCCCACCAAGGCGAGGAUCGGUAGCCGGACUGAGAGGUUGAACGGCCACAUUGGGACUGAGACACAGCCCAGACUCCUACGGGAGGCAGCAGUGGGGAAUAUUGCACAAUGGGGGAAACCCUGAUGCAGCGACGCCGGGUGGAGGAAGAAGGUCGUCGGAUUGUAAACUCCUGUUGUUGAGGAAGAUAAUGACGGUACUCAACAAGGAAGUGACGGCUAACUACGUG
rnacentral:rRNA from 1 species